AGAAAGGUGAGUCAGUAGGGCUUAUGGCUACCAACCUGAAGGUUGCAGGUUCAAUUCCUGCCCUUUGUA